AAAAAUUAUCAUUAAACAAGCUUCUGAUCAACAAAAUAAUAUCCCAAAAAGGUGGAUUAAAUUUUUGUUUUCUUCAUAGACAUAAGGAAAUUAACUUUACAGUCUGACCAUUGAUUAACUUUCAGCAAUGUGCACAACUGCCAUUUUGAUAACACCAUAGUUUAAGAUGCCAAAAAAACAAAGGAAGAUGGAGCGAGAAAGAUGAAUUACGCUAUAGGAAUUGAUUUUCCUCUUAAGUGCUCAAGUCUCACUUUAAAUUCAACUAUCACGGAUGAGCCAAAUGCCCAGCCCUAAACAAAAAGAUUAACUUAGUAAUUGAUACCUUGUAGAAAGACAAACCGUGAGAUCAGUGAAAGUGGUAAGUUGCCUGGAUAUCACGAAAGUGUCAAGACUCUUCUCUUCACCAUCUUUAAUCAUAUCUUCCAUCAUAUGAAUCUUCAGCAUCUUGAAUUGACGAUCGAAGACAGGCUUGUAGAGAUGACUCAAACGUGUACCACAAUGGCCUCAUAAUAUAGAUGCAAGAUUAUUAUGAUUGAAUGACGAUUCUUCGGAUGCAUAUGUAGGAAUAAACACUGCGUCAUACGAGUUCUCAUAACCAUCAAUUCACUUUCGAAUAGAAAUGGUAAAUUUUCAUUACAAACUGAUCCAAGCACUUCAAGACCUAAUGAGAACAAAGUAAAUCAACACAAAGACAGUGUCCGGACUUUUGAUAGGAUUUAUUUUUUAAAAGGUAUUUCGCAUAUAAACUUCUUAACAUAGAUCUCUACAUAUAUAGACAAAAUGAAAUAAAUACAAAGAUGUGCUUCAUAAGUUCUCAACAAAGCCCAAGUAAUCUCCACAAUAAGGCUUAUUUAUAAGUCCUCUAAUCUGAGUGACUUCAAUGAUUCUUCCAGCCCAAAACAAGGCUUCUCUCCUCCAGAAAAAUAAUUAGGAUUAUUAUAUUAUUAUUUGUUUUGUUUCCUCGAAUAAAAAAGAGAAUCCGAGAACUUUUUAAGACAAAAGCCAAAUCUUCGAAACCUUAUGAGAUGUGAUAGGGUUACAAGGGUAAAACAGGAACUCAGAAUAAAAAUAAGUUAAUCGAGAAAGCUCCAAAUAAACACCACUCGUCCGCCUCUCUGUCUCUCACCAAAAU
rnacentral:sRNA from 1 species